rnacentral:rRNA from 1 species
CCCUGGGUUAGUCGGGACCUAAGCUGAGGCCGAAAGGCGUAGGUGAUGGACAACAGGUUGAUAUUCCUGUACUACCGAUAACCGUUUGAGAGAAGGGAUGACACAGUAGGAUAAGCUAAGCACACUGUUGGUUAUGUGUGCCCAAGCAUUGAGGCAGUCAAAGUAGGCAAAUCCGCUUUGAUAAUACUGGGAUGUGAUGGGGAGCGAAAUUUAGUAGCGAAGUAGCUGAUUUCACACUGUCAAGAAAAGUCUCUAUCGAGGUUAAAGGUACCCGUACCGCAAACCGACACAGGUGGGUGAGGAGAGUAUCCUAAGGCCAGCGAGAGAACUG